ACCCACGAACCUCUGAAAAAAAAUCAUAACCAGCAGCGACAAUCACAUCAGUGAUUUGUUUAUUCGAAUUACAAAAUGCGAACAGCUGGGCAUUAAAAUCAAAGCAGCCCGGGCAGAAGACAAGCCAACAAGCCCCAGAAAACAAGAAACCAAAACAAGCUCACAACUUCACAAGAGAGAUCGGGAUGGGAAUUAUUGGGGAUGUGCCUGGAAUAUUUAUCAUACAAAAUCGAUGAUAAAACCCGAUGAGACAUAUGGUCGUGGGACCUCAAAAAGAUGUCGACAUGAUGGAUUGACACGCCCACAAAAUGCAUGGGAUGUGUCCGACAUGAAGUCUGACAACAAACUGUACACGGAAGCCGGUUUCUGAUGAAAAUAGCCAAUGUGGAAUAUGUACGUGAAGAUAUAUUUGGCAUGAUAUAUUUCACAUUACUCAAUUAAUUUGGGGGAAUGGGCGAAAGCGGGAAGGCAGCCGAACAAAGCACAAGGAAAUGCGGGAAAACUGCGGGAAGGUCAGCAACCUGAACCCGGGGAGAGAUUUUGGUUUGCCUAUUAAUCAACAAGUGGCCGAGUGUGACAUGGCCAGACAGGCGCGGCUGGCACCUUACAAAUCGACGGCAUUAGUCAUUGAACGUCCAAGGCGGAAAUUGCACAGAGUCCGAUAAAAAACGGAAGUCGUCGCAUUGUAAAGGAUGGCAAGUAAAAGUAUCUUAUGGACAGAUUGCAUGUCGGGGAAAAAGGUGCCCUGUCCAGGAGUGGGAAACGACCAACCGAUGGGCCAUUAAGCCUUGCGUGUUCAAUUUUCGCAGCUAAAUUAAAUUAUUAAAGAGGCUGCAAAGGCCAUGAAAAGGGGAUACCUGGGAGUAGAGAUAAUAUUUAUUUUUAAUUAACUGAAUACAAAAAAUAAUCCUUCUCUAUAAGCUUAAUUAGGUACAAGGAAUUUAAUUAAGUAGUUAAUUUAAUAAAGUUUAAACAUUUAUUUAAAAUAAUUCACAGAAAUGUUUGUUUAUACUUUUUUUGGGAGCUUCCUCUCGUUUAAC